GUGUAUACCAAGGGAGACUCCAUGGCUAGGGUUUCCAAGCUUCCAAGCUCGAUUGUAAGUCCAUUCUAGCCUCGUUUUUAAUGAUUUUUACGUUUUUGGAGUCCCGGUAACUUGAUUUAGCUUAUGCUAGCAAUAAUUCAACCUAGGGUUCAUAUUUGGAAAAAUAACCAUAGGUGAAAUUUGUGUAUUUUGGUGUUUUAUGAUAGAAUAUGAGGUUUUAAAUUAUGUUAGACAACUUGUGCUACUCGGUUUUAAGUGAAAACGAGCAAAAGGGCUUAAUCGGUAAAAAUACCUAAUAGUCAUAAGUACAUGUUAGAGUGAGAAUUUGAUGUUGCCAUAGAAGGGAAAAAUGAUCAGCAUGUCAUAAAACAUAAGAAAAUAGGAUGAAGUUUAAUUUUCGAACCUUGGGGAAAAAGUGAAAAUAUGCAAAAGUUUAGGGGUCAAAAUGAAAAUUUUUAAAAAUAUGAUUUUUGGACCCGUAUGAAUAGUGUGACUAAUUAUUAGGCUAAAUGUGAUAUUAUAGAUGAAGGAAAUCGAGAUUCGGGCUUAAAUCGGGAAAAUACAAUGUUAUGGACUAAAAUGGUAAGUUACUGUUUCUGGAUCAAGGUAAGUUCGUAUGAUAAUAAUAAUGCAAUGUUAUGUUUGAAUUAUAUUUCUUACUAUUAUUGCAUAUAUUUUAUGAUUUAAUAUAUUGGAAAAGUUGAUGGAAUGGUGUUUAUGAUGUGGAAAUAUGACAUGAAAGAAUGUUACAUGAAAUACAAGAAAAUGAAGAUACAUGACAAGUGAUAUAUGUUAUGUAAAUUCUUAAAAGCUAAUUUGAUAUUUGAGUUAUGUCUUAUUAUACUAUGAAUGGAAAAUUGGUACUAUGGAUAGUGAGAUCGACACUUCGAGUAAAUUCGUACAUAAAUAAUGUAAUAACUCGAAUUUUACUGUUACCGAAAUAGUGUAUUUUCGGGUCUCCGUUUUUGAAAAACGGAUUUGUAAAUUUUAUUAAAAAUAUUUACGAAGUAAAAUGAGUGGUUAAUUAGAGUUUAAUUAAGUAAAUUUAGCUUAAUUAAGAGUAAUUAGGAAAAAUGUCUAAAUUGAAUAAAUGAUGAAAGUUGAAUUGUAGAUUAAAAGAAAAUGAAGAGGACCAAAAUGACAAUUAUGCCAUUUGUCCUAAGUGAGGCGGUAUAAACAUAAAAAUCUGAGAUUUUUAUGUGUUAAAAUAUAUAUUAAAUUAUUAUUAUUAUUUAUUAUAGGUUUAUAUUUAAUUAUUAUUGUUAUUGUUAUUAUUAUUUAAAUUGAUAUUAUAUUAUAAAAUGAAUAAAAGUAAGACAAGUGUGUGGUAAAAAAAAUUUUUAUGUGUACCAAUGAUAUACAUACACUUGUAAUACAUAUAUAUGUUUGCUUAUUAUAUAAGUAUAUUAUAUAUUAUUAAAAGUAAAGUAAAUAAAAAGGAAAUAAAGGAAAAGAAACAGAAUGUGGAAACGAAACAGAGAAGAAACAGGGGAGAAAGAAAGAAAGAAAAAGAAAAAGGAAAAUUUGGGGUUUCAAGGUUCAAAGUUAAUUUGCUAAUGUUGUCUCAAGAAGUUUCGGCUAAGUAAGGAAAUAGCAAAGUCGACGAGGAAAAGCUUGGAAAAGCUCGGAAAAUACAGUUUGUAUUUCUAUAAUCCGAACCUAGUUAUUAUUUGUUAUAUUUAUAUACAUAUGACAAUUGUU
rnacentral:lncRNA from 1 species